GAAGCGCGGGGCCCGGGGCGGCCGCCCCGUUCGCCCUGCCCUGCCCUAUGUCCACCCCUGCUCUGCAGGUUCUUUACAGGAUGCUACAUCUCUCCUUUUUAACAACUGUUCUCUUUGCUGACUCACUUUGGCCAGAGGGAGUGAAGUGAUAUGUCAAAUUCGGAUAUGAACAAAGCAGAAGAAGAAAUAAAUACUCAGAAGAAAUGACUUUGCCAAAAGGCCUCAUUCAGAUCUCCGUGACUUCAUUUUGAGACUGGAGCUAUCAAAAAAGUGAAGACGUGCAUUAGGAGGAAGAUCAGAUUGAACAGGAAGUGUCACCAUCUGGGUGUAAGAAGCAGCAGCAUAAUUCAACAAAUCUCACUACAGGCUGAAACUCCAUAAUCCAGACUUCCUUAGCUCAGCAACAUCCCAGGUCCAGCAUUGUUGGGAUGACCUCAUGGGAGCACUCACAGGUACUGGUCCAAUGCACUGGCAUACUUCACAGGAAUACUCCGCUGUGGUCACCUCUGAAUCAUGAAACCAGGGAGAAUUCAUGCCUCGCCUUCAGCUGUGGAUUGGGAUGGAGGAUUUGACCCAUAUUCUGAGAGAAGCAGGGUGGACUUGGUUGCAGAGAGAUCAGAGUACAUAAAUAUAUCAAAAUUUUUGUGGCCAUGCUGGAGCUAUAAGGAUGACCCAGACUCAAUCCCCUUGCAUCUUAUGAAGCACUUGAAACAAGAGGGAAAAGGGGGCAAAGCAAAGAGUAGCAGAGCAUCCCAUGUGAAGAGGAACUCAUCUUCCAGAGAUAUGAGGCUUUGACCUGCUUUUAGGCAGAACUGAGAACAUUUGGUAUUUUCUAGUGUGGCAAAAAGAUUUGUGACUGGCAAUCACCAGCAGUUGAAUAGGUGGUGUAGGGUUUGUGUAACUAGCCCUGACUUCUGGUCUUGGGAGUAUCUCCUGCUCAGUGGGUGUGCUUGGGUGUUCUGGUGUCCAGGUAGGUAUGUAAGCUAUAGGGCUGGAGCACCAGGGAAGUGAAGUGUCUCAAUUGGUGGCCACAUCAGUGAAGGUUGGAGGUUUUUGGAGGGUGAUUUUUUUUUUUUUUUUGCUUCUCACUUGUGUA